rnacentral:lncRNA from 1 species
AAAUCAACACAACAUAAAAAUUUCUGAACCUAUGUUUCAUAGGAGAGUGGAAUGAAAUUCAUUGUUAGCAGAUGUGCCAUUGUUCUAUUGUGCAAUUCUGUCCGUUCUUGCUAUAUUCUUGUGUAAGGAAAUGUAUUCAUGAGAUGAGUUAUUGUGUUAUGUAAACCUGGGAGAUGUAUUAUGUGAUGUUAUAUGAUGGAUGAUUUUAAUU